GACAGAGGUUGCAAACGUUGUUCGGAAUUACUGGGCAUAAAGCGCACGUAGGUGGUCCGCUAAGUCGAUUGUGAAAUUCCCCGGCUCAACCGGGGAACGGCACUCGAUACUGGCGGGCUUGAGGUCCGGAGGGGUGAGUGGAACUCCUGGUGGAGCGGUGAAAUGCGUAGAUAUCAGGAGGAACACCGGUGGCGAAAGCGGCUCACUGGCCGGAAUCUGACACUGAGGUGCGAAAGCUAGGGGAGCAAACGGG
rnacentral:rRNA from 1 species